GUACGAACGCGUGGCGGCGUGCCUAAUACAUGCAAGUCGAGCGAGGCUUGGCCUAAGGAUGAUUUUAGUGCUUGCACUAAAUGAAACUAGAUACAAGCGAGCGGCGGACGGGUGAGUAACACGUGGGUAACCUGCCCAAGAGACUGGGAUAACACCUGGAAACAGAUGCUAAUACCGGAUAACAACACUAGACGCAUGUCUAGAGUUUGAAAGAUGGUUCUGCUAUCACUCUUGGAUGGACCUGCGGUGCAUUAGCUAGUUGGUAAGGUAACGGCUUACCAAGGCAAUGAUGCAUAGCCGAGUUGAGAGACUGAUCGGCCACAUUGGGACUGAGACACGGCCCAA
rnacentral:rRNA from 1 species